AGCUAUAUGAGAUAAUAUAUAGUUAUUUCUGCUCCAUGAUUAUUAAAUAGCCGCAGUACCCUGACUGUGCAAAGGUAGCAUAAUCAGUUGGCUUUUAAUUAGAGUCUGGUAUGAAUGAAAAUAUGGGUGGUAACUGUCUUAACAUAUUUAUUUGAACUUAUUGAGCAAGUGCAAAUACUUGUAAACUUAAAAAAGACGAGAAGACCCUAGAAACUUGAAAAUAGUUUUGUUGGGGCGACAGAAUUACAUUUAACCAAUUUUAAAAGACAUGACAUUUAAUUGAAAGAAUAAGUUACUCUAGGGAUAACAGCAUAAUUUAAAUAGUUUGUGACCUCGAUGUUGGACUAGGUAUUAUACUCUUAAGGCAAGAAUAUAAAAUGCUCUGUUCGAGCAGUUUCACCUACAU
rnacentral:rRNA from 1 species